rnacentral:misc_RNA from 1 species
AACAUCGCGCACCUGCGGGAACCUGCGGAAGGAUCAUUACAGAGUUGCAAAACUCCCUAAACCAUUGUGAACGUUACCUAAACCGUUGCUUCGGCGGGCGGCCCGGGUCCUUCCCGGCGCCCAUCGGCCCUCGCGGGCGCCCGCCGGAGGUAAACCAAACUAUUGUAUUGUAUGGCCUCUCUGAGUCUUCUGUACUGAAUAAGUCAAAACUUUCAACAACGGAUCUCAGAUCGGAAGAGC